rnacentral:lncRNA from 1 species
UAAAUUACAUCUAAAUGCACUAUUUCCUCAAAUCUAUAAAAAUAAUUUUCUGAAAAGAAAAUUACUAUAAAACAAACACCUAAAAGAUAAUUUUUCAAUCAGAAAAAUAAUUUUCGAUAUAUUUUAACCAAAUAUCUAUUUCUAUUUCUCUACAUUAAAGGAGGGUUUGGGGGAACCAAAGGGUGACACGUGUCCCCCCAAACCCUCCUUUACUCUCUCUUCCUCUAUGUAUAUAUAUAUAUCCAUUUCUCUAAAUUAAAGAAGGGUUUGGGGGAACCAAAGGAUGUAUAUAUAUAUAUUGAUAUCAAAAUUUAAAAUUUUGAUACUUUCAAAUUUUAAAUUUUAAAUUUUAAAUUUAAUUUAUAAUAUUUAUUUUCAAAUUUUAAACUUCAAAAUUUAAAAUUUUAAAUCUCUAAACUCUAUGAAAUUAAUUAAUUAAUUUUAUUAAUAAUUCAUUAUAUAUAAUAUAAUUAAUUAAUUUUAUUAAUAAUACGCAUAAUAAAUCACGUAAUAAAAUCUAACCUGAUAGAUACAAUUUAAAUCACGUAAAAUAUCGUUGUAUAAAAAAAAUAUAGUAUUUAAAUUUUAGGAGUAAAAUUUUAGAAAUAUAGUGUAUUUCUGUGUAUAUAUAAUUAAUUUUAUUAAACAAUUUCAUUUACAAUUUUAUUUUCCUUCUAUUUAUUGAUUUUUUAAAAUUAUUUUGAUAGAUUUAUCUCAAAUCCUUUUCAUAUGUAUCUUUAUAAAAUAAAUUAUUAUAUAAAUUUACUUUGCGCAUAUAUCAAUUUUAAUGACUUUUAUUUAAAUAGAUUUAACUACUAAAUUAUUUUUAUAUAAUUUUUGUUUAAUUAAU